GGGCUCACACAAGCGGUGGGGUAUGUGGUUUAAUUCGAUAAUACGCGCAAAACCUUACCAGUUCUUGACAUCUAUCGUUUAUUCGUACUGAGAAGUCUGAAUAUUAUAGAUAGACAGGUGUUGCAUGGCUGUCGUCAGCUCGUGUCGUGAGAUGUUUGUUAAGUCCUUUAACGAGCGUAACCCCUAAAACUUACUAUGAUUGAGCUUCUAAUUGCUUGAAGCAUCAACCUAGUAAGUUUUCAACUGCCGAUGAUAAAUCGGAGGAAGGUGGGGAUGACGUCAAGUCUUCAUGGCCCUUAUGAACUGGGCUACACACAUGCUACAAUGGUGAUGACAAUGAGAAGCAAAAGUGAAAGCUGGAGCAA
rnacentral:rRNA from 1 species